GACGAACGCUGGCGGCGUGCUUAACACAUGCAAGUCGAACGGAAAGGCCCUGCUUUUGUGGGGUGCUCGAGUGGCGAACGGGUGAGUAACACGUGAGUAACCUGCCCUUGACUUUGGGAUAACUUCAGGAAACUGGGGCUAAUACCGGAUAGGAGCUCCUGCUGCAUGGUGGGGGUUGGAAAGGUUCGGCGGUUGGGGAUGGACUCGCGGCUUAUCAGCUUGUUGGUGGGGUAGUGGCUUACCAAGGCUUUGACGGGUAGCCGGCCUGAGCGGGUGACCGGCCACAUUGGGACUGAGAUACGGCCCAGACUCCUACGGGAGGCAGCAGUGGGGAAUAUUGCACAAUGGGCGGAAGCCUGAUGCAGCAACGCCGCGUGCGGGAUGACGGCCUUCGGGUUGUAAACCGCUUUCGCCUGUGACGAAGCGUGAGUGACGGUAAUGGGUAAAGAAGCACCGGCUAACUACGUG
rnacentral:rRNA from 1 species